AUGAUUCCUCCAAGUGCACCUUCUCUUUUCCCUCUCAUUUUACCCUCUGAGAGCAUCCCCAACAGUGGACUCAUCACCAUCGGAUGCUUAGCCAAGGACGUCGUGCCUCCCGUGGUCAGUUUCAGCUGGGACGAUCAGAAUGUCAGCAUCAAUGGAAGUUACAUCAAGCAGUUCCCAUCUGUUUUCAACCCCAUGGGGACCUUCACUGCCAGCUCUCAAGUGGCCAUCUCGGCCAAUGACUGGUGGAAUUUUCAGCCAUUCUACUGCAGGGCUAAUAACGCCAAUGGAACUGGAGUGGCACAAGUCAUUCGUCCGACUUCCUGUCUGGAGCCUGAGAUGAUCAUCCGAGCACCACGCCUAGAAGAUUUUGAGAAUUCUAACCCAAAUGCCUCCAUCGUCUGCAUGGCUACUAAUUUGCACACUGCUAGCGCUACAGUCCAGUGGUGGAAGAAUGGGCAUGUGCUCGGCUCUGGUUUCACCACCACUGGGCCAGCCGUGAUGGGUCGUGGUGGCUACAGCAUCGUCAGCGAGCUCGAGGUCGAUAAGAGGGACUGGGUCUCCGACAAGAAAUUCUCUUGCGAAGUGCGCAGCGAGAACUUCACCAGCACCAAGAAUAUCAGCAGGCCCCUUGUCUGUGACCUCGGUAUUGUUCCUGAUGCGAAGAUCCACGUGGCGACCAUCCCCCCAUCCUUUACAGAUAUUUACCUGACCAAGUCAGCCACGCUGACCUGCAGAAUCUCCAAUAUUCCCUACGAUCACGAUAUUAAAGAACUGGAUGUUGUCUGGACACGAGAACGUGACAACACAGAGCUGGAGACCAGAAUUGGACAGGCUACACCGCAAGAAAACAGAGAGCUGGUAUUUGUAGAUGCAACUACAACUGUGUGCCCAGACGAAUGGAACAGCGGGGAGACCUUUAAGUGCAAAGUUGCUAUUCCUUCCCUUCUUCCCACAGCUGAAACGAGAGCCCUGAAGAAGCUUCAAGGGAGUACUUACCGCGCUCCCGCGGUCUACGUCCUCCCCCCACCCUCGGAACAGCUGGCUUUGAAGGAAACGGCGACCCUCACUUGCCUACUGAAAGGCUACUUUCCCAACGACUUCUUCGUGAAAUGGAUGCGCAACGAUGAGCCGGUAGCCGAUUCAGAGUACUUCACCAGCAAGCCCAUCCAGGAAUCCAGGACCCCCGAGCUGUACUUUACCUACAGCACGUUGAACGUCAGAGAGCAGGACUGGAGUUACGGAGCCAUUUACACUUGCGUGGUGGGACACGAGGCGCUCCCCCUCCAGACAACUCAGAAGACCAUAGACAAGAACACGGAAACUGAUUUCCAUUUAUCAUCCAAAGCUUACCUUGACGGGAUUGUAGACCCGGAUGACGAUGAAGGACUCCUAAACAUCUCGUCAUUCCUUUCCACUUUCAUCAUCCUCUUCCUCGUGAGCCUUUUCUACAGUGCCACCGUGACUGUCAUCAAGAUAAAGUAA